rnacentral:rRNA from 1 species
ACUGCAGGCUGCAACCCGCCUGCACGAAGCCGGAAUCGCUAGUAAUCGCGGAUCAGAAUGCCGCGGUGAAUACGUUCCCGGGUCUUGUACACACCGCCCGUCACACCAUGGGAGUCGGAAAUGCCCGAAGCCGGUGACCCAACCCGAAAGGGAGGGAGCCGUCGAAGGCAGGUCGGAUGACUGGGGUGAAGUCGUAACAAGGUACC